GUUCACGAGGGUGAGGAGAACUACCAUGACUGGCAGAAAGAAAAAAUAACUGGCACGAAAUGUACUGCAGCAUAAACGCUCCCAAAUAGCCGCAUCUGACAUUCGUGUAUUACAGACAACGGAAUAUAACCACACAACAAAGACAAGUUUGGAUUAAAAUUACACAAGGGACACAUUAGAUGCAGAGCAGAUUGUGAGGACAAAUUGUGAGGUACAUGCAACAUUUAUAUGAUACACAGUGGAUUUUGUGAACAGUAUAUUUCUUUGAUCUCAUCUGAACAUUUAACUUUCGACUGAGACACACACUGCAGAUCCACCGGUCACAUAAUGCACAGCUUUCUCGUGCUCCUCCCUCCGGGUGCCUCAGGGAAGCAUCAAAUGAAAUCACGUACUUUAAGCAGAACAAUAUACUGAAGAAAGAUAAAAAUAGUGAUGACUCAUAUAGAGGAGAGUCACACAGUCCUCGUGUUUAUCUAAACACUAUUGAUUCCAGUUUUAAAUCCCUGGUUUGUCAUCAGCAGCACCAAACCAGUCCUGCGUCAGAGUCAGGUUUGCCAGUCUAAGGAACCCAACUUGGUGUCUGUGUGUGUGUGUGUUUGUGUGUGUUUGUGUGCGCAUGUGUGAGGGGAUGUUUGUGUGUGCUGCAGGGGACAAAUGAAAAGGCCUGUGACUGAAUCAGAAAACACCACAUUCAUGUGCAUAGGGGCACCUUCAACACAAUCUAAAUAGCAAUGUCAGCACUGUAUGUUAACACACUGUGAGGCAGAGGGGGGACAGUUUAUGCAAAUAAGCACAUUUGCAACACAGAGCCGGCUCCAUAUGUCUCCUGUGUGCUGCUCUGCUCCCCCCCACUGCUCCACACUUGCUAACUAAGUUCUCCCUUUUGGCGUCCAGGCCCUCGUCUGCAUUUCUUUCACACCCUGAGUGUCAAGGAGGUGAAGUUUGUAUGUCACUUCCAUUUCACUCCAGGAAGGGAAGCUUCUUGAAUUCCACCUUUGACUUCU